UUAAGUUUUUCAUCUCAACUAAUUAAAUUAUGCUAGAUAUAUUAUUAUUAAAGAAAAUGAUGAUGUGGUUAGCUUGAAUGGGUUAACUUCGAAAAGCCAAAAAGCUUGGAGAAAAAAAAAAGCUAAUCCAUAUUUUUCAACAUUUGAUCCAUUUUUCAUUCAUUUCUUAGCAAUAUCUUGAUUUUCAAUUGUUAUGGAAGGAAAUGUGGACUCUAGUUUCUGUUAUUUUUAUGUUAUCUCCCUAGGCUUUUGGACUAUUGAUAAUGCGCAGCAUUUUGGUUCAACGAACCAUUAAUGAAACGAUGUGUUUUAGUCCAUCUUAUAAGCAUUAGGAAAUGGUGCAUUUUAUUAUGUUUUCUUAUGUUAAUGAAACAUUGUGUAUUGGAAGGAGGAUACAAUUGUUGAGUAAUAGCCACAGUAACCACUUUCCUAAUCGUUGCAUUAUUUCUCAUUUAAGUGAAAUGGUUAUAGGGAGAAAUAAUUAUGCAUUUAGUGGAAUAGAAUUUUGUUUCCUCUCUUUUCUCUCCCGAUUCUCUUCCUUCAUCUUCCCUCUCUCAGCUACUUUGCUAUCGUCUCUUUAGCUCUUCUAUAACAAAGGUAUCAGAGCUAAGUAAUCCUCCAUGGUUGGUGAAGGGGUGACCACCUGACUUCAAAAGGAAAUAGGCCACCUUCAGUAGAAAGUUGUUAAACUCCAGAUUGAGCUUUUCCAUUGGGACACAAAGUUCGACUCGCGCUUGAAGGAGCUUAGGGAAGAACUCAAGGGCGAGAUCUAGUCUAAAUUGCAGGCCUUGUUGAGCAAUAUUUGGGCCAUUCCUCUUCUGCUACUGCUACUGGGUCUUCCCAGGACAAAAGGAAAGAAAUUCUAGAGGGUUUUCCAUUUGGUUAUGAUUUUUUCUCCCAUGGUAGAUUUGGGAUGCAUGGGAACACCUUCGUGAAUGAGUCACUUGGAAGCUCUCUUAUGACCUUAUAAAAUUAAAUGUCCAAGGUUUGGUGGUACAGAUUUUCGAGGUUGGUGGUUAAAACUUGAGCAAUACUUUAAGGUUGAGGGUGUAAUCGGCAGUGCCAAAGUGAAAACUGUCAUGUCACACCUGGAAAGGAAGGUUCAUGACCGGCAUCAUUUCUAUACCCAGAAUUAAAAGGGGAUUUCACUUACUCACUUGGGAUAGUUAUGCUCAAAGUCUGAAAGAAAAGUUUGGUUCUAGUUCCUUCCUUGAUCCCAUGGCAAAAUUGGACUCUCUCAAGCAACAAGAUUUAGUAGACCAAUAUCAUGAUGUUUUUGUUGAAGUCGAAAAGAAAGGUAGAAGUGGUCCAAGACUCGUCCCAUCACAUCACCUGGCAUGGUAAAGAGAACAAGUUUGUAGUUUGAUGUUAGUAUUGCAUGUACAUAGGCUUAAAGUGUACAAGUUUAAACUUGAAAUUAAAAUGACGAGUUAAAACUCUUGAAAAUAUAAGACCACUUCAUAUUAAGCAAAAUAUUUUCUUUCUCAUUGCUAAAAAUAAAUCAUGAGGGUGACUAAAUAUUAUCAUUUGAAUUAAUUUAUUGCUUACUCAUAUACUAAAACAUAUGUAAAAAUAAUAAUACUUCUACCCAACAUAUCAUUAUAUUUCAAGUUGUAAAAGAUAAAAAUUUUAAAAUUUACAUUAGAGUUUUGUCAAAUUCUUUUGAGAUCAAUCUUUUCAUCCCUCGAAAAGCAUAUUGUAAAAAGUUCGUGCAUGGUGAGUACUAGAGGUGUUCAUAGGCUGGGCUGGGCCGAAUCUAAUUAAAAAUUUAGGCAUGUUCACUAGGCCAGCCCGUAUUAAUUUUUUAUAUUAUUUUUAAAUAUAUAUAAUACAUCAAAAAUACUAAAAAUAUCAAAAUAAAUAUUUUCAACAAAUUGAAAAUAAAUUUUAAAAAAUAUAUAUACUUAAAUAACACUAACAUAGAUGCAACUUAACAAGCCAAUGCCUCUAAAAUAGUAACAAAAUUAACAAAUGCCUCUAAAAUAAUAACAAAAUUAAUAAUAAAACAAGUUUUAUACAAUAUCGGAACAAUAACAACAAAAUAGUAACAAUAUAUAAUAGUAAAAUGAUACCAAAAUAGGGAGAAAACAACAAGCAAAUAGCAUUAAGAAAAAAUAUUUUUUUUUGUCCUUUGCUGAAUUUAGGCAAUGCCGAACCAAAAAUACCUUACUUAAGACCCAACCCAUUUUUUAAAUGAACCUUAUUAUUUUGUCUAAACUCAUUUUUCAGACCUAUAUUUUUUCUUAAACCUUCUCACAUUUUGGGCAAGCCUUCGAGCCGGACCAACAAUGUAGUGAGUACAAGAGAUUCAAUGUUUUAGAGCCAUAAUUUUUUAUUAUAAUUUAUGAUUACAAAUCAUUUCAGAAAUGAUUAAUUUCUGAUAAUUAAUUAAACAAUCCACUUCUUUCUGAUAAUUAAUUAAAUGACAAAUAUCAACCACAGCAAGAUAUCAAGUUGCGGUGAAACUCCUAAAUUUUUUAGUUACUUUCUCAAGAUUUUCACAUGAAUAACAGUUUCAAUAGUCUUUUUUUUUUUUUAAGUACAAAGGGAGCACGAGAUUGCAUCAACUGGAAAAAUAUAUCGAGUCUUUUUUCCAGAUAGAGAUCUAAUCUAAACAGUUUUAAGUUUUUUGGCUACCUAUGGUGCAAUCAAAACUGAUUUGGGAUAAGAGGUAAGGUUCCUCACCGGCAACAUUUGCUGGCCAAACUAGCAGUGCUUUUAGUGACAAUACUAGCUCAUAUAUGCUUUAAUUUGGCAAACGAGUACACUUAACCUAAUCCAUUUUCUGGAAAAUCAAAUAAAAAUGAUCCUACAGCCACAUGCAAUUUAAACUGUAGAUAAGAUUUACUGCAUAGAUUAGGAUUCCAAGACAAUCUAUUGGCCUUUGGGAAAAAUGCAUCUAAUCCAUUGCCAAUAAUAAUAGGAAUUCUAGAAAACAAAAUGGUUUACUCUGAACCAAACCAUUAAGAGUACAAGGUAAGCGCACCAAAAACCACCAAAACAUAUCACAAUAAAAUUAAAGAGAAAAACACUAUUUAGCAGUAUCUUGCCCUUCUUCUGCUGCAGCUUCAAAAGUCUCACCAGGAACAAGAUCUGGUACCUCCUCAUCAUCCUCUUCCUGAGUGACAACUGCACCAGUACCGGUACCAUCACCAGCACCAGGUGCCUGCUUCUGGAAUUGCUCUGCCAAUUUCCUCAAGUUGUCCAAGUUAUCAGGUCCUAUAAGUUAUAGAAUAAGGGUCAAAACAGCCGAUAUCAAUUUACAAUCACCAAAAAAGGAAACACAACUGUUCAGGGUCAAGUGCACAUACCCAACUGGUUGAUGAUUCCAGGGAGAAUAUCCUGCAAUUCUGGAAAUCAGGAAAACACACGUCAGAUCAACAAAGGUAAUGAUGCCUUUUGAGUUAAAUUUCCUUUUUAUCAAAUAUGGGAGCCUUUAAAGUUAAGAGAUGCAUACUCUUUGUCUGAGGAGAGCCACUAACAACCCAGGUGUUCGCAGCAAUAGAAGCUUGAACUGAUAUAUAGACCAUCACAUGUUAGUUUAUUGUGCAAAAAUCUUUUGAGAAUAUUGUUUGAAUAUUAAGUAUGAAUCAUAGUUCAAAUACACGCAGUCCACUUCAAAAAAGCUGUAUCUACCUUUGGGAUUAAUAAACUGGAUAACAACAUCAUCCUUGAAUA